rnacentral:rRNA from 1 species
AGGGGCAGCAUAAUGGAUAGCAAUAUCUAUGGUGGCGACCGGCGCACGGGUGCGUAACGCGUAUGCAACCUGCCGACAACACUGGGAUAGCCUUUCGAAAGAAAGAUUAAUACCGGAUGGCAUAGUUUUCCCGCAUGGGAUAAUUAUUAAAGAAUUUCGGUUGUCGAUGGGGAUGCGUUCCAUUAGGCAGUUGGCGGGGUAACGGCCCACCAAACCAACGAUGGAUAGGGGUUCUGAGAGGAAGAUCCCCACACUGGAACUGAGACACGGUCCAGACUCC